AUUUUUUAUGCACAAAAACUGAGGUACAGAUUUCUUCUAUAGAAAUGACAUGAAAACCUUACCAAGUUUGAAAAGUCAAGUGAAGGAAUUGCCAACAAGAAUUCUCAAGAAAGUUGGAUAAAGCUUAGUAUUUGUCCAGGCAUGUCUAUUCAGUUAAUAAACGGAUGUUCUGGUGAACGAGAAAUCUUUCCUUCUCCAAUGAUGCCACUCAGAUUUUGAUGUAUAAACACUAAGGAUGAGAUUUCGACUAGAACCGAAAUGAUUACUUUGUGAAAAUUUAAGUAAAGAUACUAUUGGAUAAUUCCAAAUUACAUCCCCAUCAAUGGACUCGAGGAUCAAUAAAGAACAUUUUAUGAUAAAUGCUGGAUUGGAGACAUUUCUGAAGAUUUACAUAUACCUCAAUACCAUUUUACUUGGAAAAACCUCAAAGAACAA